rnacentral:rRNA from 1 species
AUGAACGCUAGCGGCAGGCUUAACACAUGCAAGUCGAGGGGUAUAGUAGCAAUACUAGAGACCGGCGCACGGGUGCGUAACGCGUAUGCAAUCUACCUUUUGCAGAGGGAUAGCCCAGAGAAAUUUGGAUUAAUACCUCAUAGUAUAUGGAGUUGGCAUCAACACCAUAUUAAAGUCACAACGGCAAAAGAUGAGCAUGCGUCCCAUUAGCUAGUUGGUAAGGUAACGGCUUACCAAGGCAACGAUGGGUAGGGGUCCUGAGAGGGAGAUCCCCCACACUGGUACUGAGACACGGACCAGACUCCUACGGGAGGCAGCAGUGAGGAAUAUUGGUCAAUGGGCGCAAGCCUGAACCAGCCAUGCCGCGUGCAGGAUGACGGUCCUAUGGAUUGUAAACUGCUUUUAUACGAGAAGAAACACUACUUCGUGAAGUAGCUUGACGGUAUCGUAAGAAUAAGGAUCGGCUAACUCCGU